rnacentral:rRNA from 1 species
CCUACGGGGGGCAGCAGUGGGGAAUAUUGCACAAUGGGCGCAAGCCUGAUGCAGCCAUGCCGCGUGUGUGAAGAAGGCCUUCGGGUUGUAAAGCACUUUCAGCGGGGAGGAAGGCGUUAAGGUUAAUAACCUUGGCGAUUGACGUUACCCGCAGAAGAAGCACCGGCUAACUCCGUGCCAGCAGCCGCGGUAAUACGGAGGGUGCAAGCGUUAAUCGGAAUUACUGGGCGUAAAGCGCACGCAGGCGGUCUGUCAAGUCGGAUGUGAAAUCCCCGGGCUCAACCUGGGAACUGCAUUCGAAACUGGCAGGCUAGAGUCUUGUAGAGGGGGGUAGAAUCCCAGGUGUAGCGGUGAAACGCGUAGAGAUCUGGAGGAAUACCGGUGGCGAAGGCGGCCCCCUGGACAAAGACUGACGCUCAGGUGCGAAAGCGUGGGGAGCAAACAGGAUUAGAUACCCGUGUAGUC